AGUGAACGCUGGCGGUAGGCCUAACACAUGCAAGUCGAACGGCAGCACAGUAAGAGCUUGCUCUUACGGGUGGCGAGUGGCGGACGGGUGAGGAAUACAUCGGAAUCUACUUUUCGUGGGGGAUAACGUAGGGAAACUUACGCUAAUACCGCAUACGACCUACGGGUGAAAGCAGGGGAUCUUCGGACCUUGCGCGAUUGAAUGAGCCGAUGUCGGAUUAGCUAGUUGGCGGGGUAAAGGCCCACCAAGGCGACGAUCCGUAGCUGGUCUGAGAGGAUGAUCAGCCACACUGGAACUGAGACACGGUCCAGACUCCUACGGGAGGCAGCAGUGGGGAAUAUUGGACAAUGGGCGCAAGCCUGAUCCAGCCAUACCGCGUGGGUGAAGAAGGUCUUCGGGUUGUAAAGCCCUUUUGUUGGGAAAGAAAAGCAGCAGGUUAAUACCCCGCUGUUCUGACGGUACCCAAAGAAUAAGCACCGGCUAACUUCGUG
rnacentral:rRNA from 1 species